rnacentral:rRNA from 1 species
ACAGCAGCAGCCACGGUAAUACGUAGGUGGCGAGCGUUGUCCGGAUUUAUUGGGCGUAAAGGGAGUGUAGGCGGUCUUUUAAGUCUGAUGUGAAAGCCCACGGCUCAACCGUGGAGGGUCAUUGGAAACUGGGAGACUUGAGUGCAGAAGAGGAGAGCGGAAUUCCAUGUGUAGCGGUGAAAUGCGUAGAUAUAUGGAGGAACACCAGUGGCGAAGGCGGCUCUCUGGUCUGUAACUGACGCUGAGGCUCGAAAGCGUGGGGAGCAAACAGGAUUAGAUACCCGCGUAGUCCCUGUCUCUUAUAC